UGGAGUUGUGGCAUCUUAGGAAGGGUCCACUGGUGUGUCUUUGCUGCAUGUGGGAUAUCAUUUUGGUUAGAGACUAAAAAAUUCUGGUAUACAGGUAAACUCUCUAGGAGACAAAAAAUUGGGAUGAUAGGAUCAAGCUUCACUAUGGUCUCUAUAGAGUCAGAUCAAGGAUUAGAGGAAUUAAUAAGAGAAUAUUUUCCAGGGAUUGAUGUGGAUUCUGGCAUCAAUUAUUUAAGUCUGGGAAUGGGGAGACUUGGCCAGACAGCGGUUCCUGGGAAGUAGAUCUGGGGCUUCUAGCUGGCCACAAGCUCAAUUUGAGCCAGAUGUAUACAGCUGCCAAGGACACCAUCUUAGCCUGCAUUUACAGAGCCAGUGUAUGCGUCGUGGAUUCAAGGAAGGUAAAGCAAGAAAACCAUUUUAAAUGAGCUCGACAGGCAUGUCCGGAGCAGGAAGAGCGCCCCUCUUCAACCCCUCUUCUGUCUCACGCCUGCUCUGACACUGACCUCCCGCCUCCCUCUUUCACUGACAAGGACCCCAUGAUUACCCUGGACCCGCCUGGAUCAUCAAAGGAUUUUUCUUGGCGAGUGUAAGACUCCUGUGAAGGGUAAAGAGUAGAGGCAAGGUUGAUCUUGGUAUCCAAACCUGGCUCCGGCAUUUAAGUCACUGUGUGAUGGUGGGCUGGUGAAUGCAGCUGUCCAAGGCUACCUCUUCGUCUCUAGAGUUUGUUCAUAGUUUUCUGGUAAGGUUUCUGUGAUGCCAUGAUCGUAACUAGAAGCGCUUUCCACAGCACCAUACAAAUAUUACUUACCAUUCAUAGAUAAUUCGCCCAACGAGCAUAAUCAGCAGGUCAACCCAGAGACU